rnacentral:rRNA from 1 species
UACGUAGGGGGGCAAGCGUUGUCCGGAUUUAUUGGGCGUAAAGAGCGUGUAGGCGGCUUUACAGGUCCGUUGUGAAAACUCGAGGCUCAACCUCGAGACGCCGGUGGAAACCGUAAGGCUAGAGUCCGGGAAGAGGAGAGUGGAAUUCCUGGGUGUAGCGGUGAAAUGCGCAGAUAAUCAGGAGGAACACCCGUGGCGAAAGCGGCUCUCUGGGACGGUACUGACGGCUGAGACG